rnacentral:rRNA from 1 species
AUUUAAAGUCUAGCCUGCCCACUGAAAUUAAUUUUAAUGGCCGCAGUAUUUUGACUGUGCAAAGGUAGCAUAAUCAUUAGUUUUUUAAUUGAAAGCUUGUAUGAAAGGUUGGACGAGGUAAAAUCUGUCUCUAUUUAAUUUAUUUUAGAAUUUAAUUUUUAAGUUAAAAAGCUUAAAUUUUAUUAAAAGACGAGAAGACCCUAUAGAUCUUUAUAAUUUUUGUUAUAAAUUUAAUUAUGAAUUAUUUAGAAUUUAUAAUAUAAAUUAUUUUAUUGGGGUAAUAAAAAGAUUAAAAUAAUUCUUUUUUAUUUUUAACAUUAAUUUAUGAAUUUAAUGAUCCAAUUUUAUUGAUUAUAAGAUUAAGUUACCUUAGGGAUAACAGCGUAAUUUUUUUAGAGAGUUCAUAUCGAUAAAAAAGUUUGCGACCUCGAUGUUGGAUUAAAGAUUAGUUUAGGUGUAGAAGUUUAAAUUUUUGGUCUGUUCGACCAUUAAAUCUUUACAUGAUCUGAGUUCAGACCGGCGUAAGCCAGGUCGGUUUCUAUCUUUAAUAAUUUUAAAAUAUUUUAGUACGAAAGGACCAAAUAUUUAAUAUAUUUAUAUUUUAUUUUUUGAAUAUUAUUAAAUUGUUUUGGCAGAUUAGUGCAAUGAAUUUAGAAUUCAUAAAUGUAAUUAUUUUUACAAACAAUACUUGUUUUAUAUAGAUUUAAUUUUUUCUUUAAUUUGUAUAUUUUUAUUAAUUAUUUGUGUUUUAGUUGGGGUAGCAUUUUUAACUUUAUUAGAACGAAAAGUU